UACGUAGGGUGCAGGCGUUAAUCGGAAUUACUGGGCGUAAAGCGUGCGCAGGCGGCUCCUUAAGUCAGAUGUGAAAUCCCCGGGCUUAACCUGGGAACUGCGUUUGAAACUGAGGAGCUCGAGUGUGGAAGAGGGGGGUGGAAUUCCAGGUGUAGCAGUGAAAUGCGUAGAGAUCUGGAGGAACACCGAUGGCGAAGGCAGCCCCCUGGGCUAACACUGACGCUCAUGCACGAAAGCGUGGGGAGCAAAC
rnacentral:rRNA from 1 species